GCCCUAGUAACGGCGAGUGAAGCGGCAACAGCUCAAAUUUGAAAUCUGGCGCAAGCCCGAGUUGUAAUUUGUAGAGGAUGCUUCUAGGUAGCGACCGGUCUAAGUUCCUUGGAACAGGACGUCAUAGAGGGUGAGAAUCCCGUAUGUGACCGGCCCGCACCUUCUACGUAGCUCCUUCGACGAGUCGAGUUGUUUGGGAAUGCAGCUCUAAAUGGGAGGUAAAUUUCUUCUAAAGCUAAAUACCGGCCAGAGACCGAUAGCGCACAAGUAGAGUGAUCGAAAGAUGAAAAGCACUUUGGAAAGAGAGUUAAAAAGCACGUGAAAUUGUUGAAAGGGAAGCGCUUACAACCAGACUUCUGGGCGGUGUUCCGCCGGUCUUCUGACCGGUCUACUCGCCGUCCCGAGGCCAACAUCAUCUGGGACCGCUGGAUAAGACCUGAGGAAUGUAGCUCCCCUCGGGGAGUGUUAUAGCCUCUGGUGAUGCAGCGCGUCUCGGGUGAGGUCCGCGCUUCGGCAAGGAUGUUGGCGUAAUGGUUGUCAGCGGCCCGUCUUGAAACACGGACCAAGGAGUCUAACAUCUAUGCGAGUGUUCGGGUGUCAAACCCCUACGCGUAAUGAAAGUGAACGGAGGUGGGAAGGGUAACCUGCACCAUCGACCGAUCCUGAUGUCCUCGGAUGGAUUUGAGUAAGAGCAUAGCUGUUGGGACCCGAAAGAUGGUGAACUAUGCCUGAAUAGGGUGAAGCCAGAGGAAACUCUGGUGGAGGCUCGCAGCGGUUCUGACGUGCAAAUCGAUCGUCAAAUUUGGGUAUAGGGGCGAAAGACUAA
rnacentral:rRNA from 1 species